AGUUAAUAAGCUUAAAGCAUUAUAUUUUGAAAAUAUAAUAUAGAAAUAAAAAUUUUCUAUUAACUU
rnacentral:tRNA from 1 species